CCUACGGGCGGCAGCAGUGAGGAAUAUUGGUCAAUGGUCGAGAGCCUGAACCAGCCAAGUCGCGUGAGGGAAGACGGUCCUAUGGAUUGUAAACCUCUUUUGCCGGGGAGCAAAAAGCGGUACGUGUACCGCAUCGAGAGUACCCGGAGAAAAAGCAUCGGCUAACUCCGUGCCAGCAGCCGCGGUAAUACGGAGGAUGCGAGCUUUAUCCGGAUUUAUUGGGGUUAAAGGGGGCGCAGGCGGCGAGUUAAGUCAGCGGUAAAAGUUCGGGGCUCAACCCCGGCGAGCCGUUGAAACUGGCGGGCUAGAGUGGGAGAGAAGUAUGCGGAAUGCGUGGUGUAGCGGUGAAAUGCAUAGAUAUCGCGCAGAACUCCGAUUGCGAAGGCAGCAUGCCGGCGCCCAACUGACGCUGAGGCACGAAAGCGUGGGUAUCGAACAGGAUUAGAUACCCCAGUAGUC
rnacentral:rRNA from 1 species